rnacentral:rRNA from 1 species
AUACGGAGGAUCCAAGCGUUAUCCGGAAUCAUUGGGUUUAAACGGGUCCGUAGGUUGAUAAUUAAGUCAGAGGUGAAAUCUUGCAGCUCAACUGUAAAAUUGCCUUUGAUACUGGUUAAUCUUGAGUUAUUAUGAAGUAGUUAGAAUACUGUAGUGUAGCGGUUGAAAUGCAUAGACUAUUACAUAGAAUACCAAUUGCGAAGGCAGAUUACUAAUAAUCAACUGACACUGAUGGACGAGAGCGUGGGUAGCGAACAGGGAUUAGAUACCCUGGUUAGUCCACGCCGUAAACGAUGGUUACUAGCUGUUUGGACCUUGUGUCUGAGUGGCUAAGCGAAAGUGAUAAG